rnacentral:rRNA from 1 species
CGCAUAACAUUAUGAAAUAGCAUUAUUUUAUAAUCAAAUAUUUAUAGGACAAGGAUGGGCAUGCGGAACAUUAGCUAGUUGGUGUGGUAACGGCAUACCAAGGCUACGAUGUUUAGGGGACCUGAGAGGAUGACCCCCCACACUGGUACUGAGACACGGACCAGACUCCUACGGGAGGCAGCAGUAAGGAAUAUUGGUCAAUGGGCGGAAGCCUGAACCAGCCAUGCCGCGUGCAGGAAGACGGCCCUACGGGUUGUAAACUGCUUUUGCAGGGGAAUAAACCUCGAUAUGUAUAUCGAGCUGAAUGUACUCUGAGAAUAAGGAUCGGCUAACUCCGUGCCAGCAGCCGCGGUAAUACGGAGGAUCCAAGCGUUAUCCGGAUUUAUUGGGUUUAAAGGGUGCGUAGGUGGUUUUUUAAGUCAGGGGUGAAAGACGGCAGCUUAACUGUCGCAG